CGUGCGCACGGGAUGCGCGCGUGUGCACGAGCGCAAGCGUGAGUGGGGGAGGUGGGGGAGGUGGCCUAUCUCUAUGAACUUGGGGUGUAUUGGGCGUGCAGUGUUUAAUCUUGCACCCACCUGAGUAAGUGCCCGGUGGCUGUGCUUUCUCUAGAGCGGGCAGUAGAUGUGAGUAGACCCAGCAAAGCUAUCCUCUCCUGGGCUCACAGUAAAGAGUCCGGAGUCCCCGGGCUUGCUCAGAGAUUUUUCCAGCGAGCAGCACCGGGAAAACACCCACCAGCACAACCAGGGCAGGGUGGGAUGUCUCCAUUUGAGGAUCAGUUAAGACACCUGAGUGAUCUGCGGAAGCUGAGUUCAUUAUCGCCUUGCUCAGCGUGCAAACCGAGCUGAAUGGCUUCUCACUGACCCAACUUGCUAGUGAAUGCAUUCUUUUGUUAUCUGUUUCAAAACAACACGAGGAGGUCUGGAUGUGCCUGCCUUCAAGGAAUCUGGCAGCAAGAGGGUGGUGGAUGUUAAACCCCGCCAUCCUUCAGGGUGGGUUACUUGAGGUAGCAGGAGGUCAUCUUCACUCUAGUAGGUUGAGGUGAGGCAAGUUGUUGUUGUUGGUGGGUUAAGAGCAAGUUAGACUUAAUUCUGGUGGUGUUGUCAUUAGACAAUAUGGAAGGCACUUCUCUUCUGAAGGGUAGCGUCGAACCAGUGGCCUUGCGCAAGCUCUACCACCCAGCUACAACCCAGCCACCUUUUCUUUUCAGACAAGUUAUUUAACCUCCUUCAGCCUUAAUUUCUUCACCUACUGGGCUACUGCUGUCUUUCCUGUACCUCCGUGGUGGGUUACACGGGAUCAUGUCUGUAAACAGUUUGAGUCCUGAUACCUGCCAAAUACUAGUUACAGGGAGCGGUCGGCGUCCCAGGCGAAGCCUAACCAGCUGAAGUCCUAUCUCAGCUUGCACAGAGGUGUCACUCCCGUGGGACAAGUGAUGAGGAGCGAUACUGUUUCUUUCCUUUCUUCUUCUCCUUCCGACCUUUCUUCCCACUUCACAGAAUUGGCAUUGCUUUCUGAUUCUUAUUUUAAACACGGUAUAUAUAUAUAUAUACGUUAUAUAUACAUAUAUAUAUAUGAGAGAGAGAGAGGCAGUAAACAAAAGCAGAGUGGAUAUGCAGUCUCACAGUCAGGUGAGUGUACCCACCACAAACCUUUCCUAAAUCUAAAAUUUUUUUCCCAAACAAGCAAAAAUGGAUGUGUUAUAUUCAAUUUGGUGCUCAUUAAACAAAGAAGCAGUUCUUUAAGGGAGAAAGAGAGAGAGAGAGAGAGAGAGAGAGA